rnacentral:snoRNA from 1 species
GCAUCAAUGAUGACACUCUGAAUGCAUUCCUUGGAACCUGAACAAAAUGAGUGAGAACUCUAUACCGUCUCAUCUCAUCAGGCUGAGGUCC